AUGAAUUUAAUGUGGAGUUGGUUGUAGCUGGUCCAUUUGGAUUUUUUUAAAUAAUUUCCUUUGGACAUGUGCACACCUUCUCUUUCAUCCACACACACCUGUGAACUUGUGAGGCAGAUUUGCUCUUUGGGGACUUUAACUAGAAACCAAUUAGCUGCUGUCUACUUAAUUUACACAAACUCUAUUUAUUUUAAAACGAAUGUAAUUGAUGUAACGCAUCUAAUACU
rnacentral:misc_RNA from 1 species